AAUACCACCCUUUAAUGUUUGAUGUUCUAACGUUGUCCCCUGACCGGGGUUGCGGACAGUGUCUGGUGGGUAGUUUGACUGGGGCGGUCUCCUCCCAAAGCGUAACGUAGGAGCACGAAGGUUAGCUAAUCCUGGUCGGACAUCAGGAGGUUAGUUCAAUGGCAUAAGCUAGCUUGACUGCGAGCGUGAAGGCGCGAGCAGGUGCGAAAGCAUGUCAUAGUGAUACGGUGGUUCUGAAUGGAAGGGCCAUCGCUCAACGGAUAAAAUGUACUCCGGGGAUAACAGGCU
rnacentral:rRNA from 1 species